CACGCUGUAAACGAUGAGUACUAGGUGUAGGAGGUAUCGACCCCUUCUGUGCCGCAGUAAACACAAUAAGUACUCCGCCUGGGAAGUACGAUCGCAAGAUUAAAACUCAAAGGAAUUGACGGGGGCCCGCACAAGCAGCGGAGCAUGUGGUUUAAUUCGAAGCAACGCGAAGAACCUUACCUGGACUUGACAUCCCCUGAAUAGCCUAGAGAUAGGCGAAGCCCUUCGGGGCAGGGAGACAGGUGG
rnacentral:rRNA from 1 species